GUCAAAUCAGCACGGCCCUUACGUCCGGGGCGACACACGUGUUACAAUGGGGGGUACAACGGGCUGCGACCCGGCGACGGGAAGCCAAUCUCUAAAAACCCCUCUCAGUUCGGAUCGGAGCCUGCAACCCGGCUCCGUGAAGCUGGAUUCGCUAGUAAUCGCGCAUCAGCCACGGCGCGGUGAAUACGUUCCCGGGCCUU
rnacentral:rRNA from 1 species